GAAGAUGUGGCUCAAUUGGUAGAGUGUCUACUUACCAAGUACAAAGCCCUGAGUUCAAACUCUAGCAUCACCG
rnacentral:tRNA from 1 species